UACAGAGGGUGCAAGCGUUAAUCGGAAUUACUGGGCGUAAAGCGUGCGUAGACGGUCAUGUAAGUCGGGUGUGAAAGCCCCGGGCUCAACCUGGGAAUUGCAUUCGAGACUGCAUGGCUAGGGUGCGGAAGAGGGAAGCGGAAUUUCCGGUGUAGCGGUGAAAUGCGUAGAUAUCGGAAGGAACACCAGUGGCGAAAAGCGGCUUCCUGGUCCAGCACCGACGUCAGGC
rnacentral:rRNA from 1 species